AAAACAUGUCUUUUUGAAAAUAAUUUAAAGUCUAAUCUGCCCACUGAUGAAAAUUAAAGGGCUGCAGUAUAUUGACUGUACAAAGGUAGCAUAAUCAUUAGUCUUUUAAUUGAAGACUUGUAUGAAAGAUUUAAUGAAAUAUAAACUGUCUCUUAUUUAAAAAUAGAAUUUAAUUUUUUAGUUAAAAAGCUAAAAUAAAUUUAAAAGACGAGAAGACCCUAUAGAGUUUUAUAAUUAAAUUAUUUAAGAUUUUUUAUAUAAUUUAUAGUUAAAAAUAAUUUAAUUAUUAUAUUGGGGUGAUAAAAAAAUUAAAAUAACUUUUUUUUUAUAAUAACAUAAAUAAGUGAAAAGUUGAUCCAUUAAUAAUGAUUAAAAGAAAAAAUUACCUUAGGGAUAACAGCGUAAUUUUUUUUUUUAGUACAAAUAAAAAAAAGARAUUGCGACCUCGAUGUUGGAUUAAGAUAAAAUUUAGAUGCAAAAGUUUAAAAUUUUGAUCUGUUCGAUCAUUAAAAUCUUACAUGAUCUGA
rnacentral:rRNA from 1 species